GACGAACGCUGGCGGCGUGCUUAACACAUGCAAGUCGAACGAUGAGCCCGGAGCUUGGUCUGUGGGAUUAUUGGCGAACAGGUGAGUAUCACGUGUGGAAACUGCCCUUGUCACUGGGGUAAGCGUUGGAAAAGACGGCGCAUACCGGGUAGGACCUUGUGUCGCAUGAUGUGGGGUGGAAAGAUUUUUCGGUCUGGGCUGUACUCGGGGCCUCUAAGCUUGUUGGGGUGGUAGUGGCUCAACAAGGCGUCGAAGGGUAGCCGGCCUAACAGGGUGACCGGCAACGCUGGGACUGAGACACGGCGCAGACGCCUACGGGAGGCAGCAGUGGGGAAUAGUGCAACAGGGGAGAAAGCCGGAUGUAGCAACGGCGCGUGCGGGGUGAAGGCCUUCGGGUUGUAAACCGCAUUUGGUAGGGAAGAAGGGCUUCGGCUUGACGGUCCCUGCAGAAAAAGGACCGGUUAACUCCGU
rnacentral:rRNA from 1 species